AUACAAAUUUCUGUCCUUUCCAGAACACUAUCCAAUGGAUCAUUUCAUUAGGUAUUCAAAGCAACCCCUUAGGAGCAGAGACUAUUACUUUCAUUGACCGAUAAGGAAAUUGAGGCUUAGAGAAGUAAAAGGACUUAGCUAAGGUCUCCUAGCUAAUGAGUGAGAGAGGAGUCAUAUGUUUCCUAGUCUAGUGCAGUUUCUAUACUGCCCUACCCGUAUCUGUAUAGUCUCACCAAAUGCUGGCAGUCACAGAAUGAGAACUUGGGCUUAGAUUUACCUCUGAGCAUCACAUUCUUCUUGGUGCUGGACAGCAUCUGGGACACUGUCAAUCUUCUGGGGUCUUACAAUACAAGAGAUAGAGUGAGUACUAAAAUAGCCCAACGAGUAAUCCCUGGAACAGUGGGUGUACUGACAAUCACAGGCGGCUUCCGCCUUAUAUAAAUAGAUCUUCAGGGAUUGUGAUUUGGAUAAUGGAAGGCAUUUUCUUUUCUUUUUUUUUCUUUUGUGAGGAAGAUUAGCCCUGAGCUAACAUCUGUGCCAAUCUUCCUCUUUUCUUUUCUUUUCUUUUUUAUGUGGCUCACAACCACAGUGUGGGUUGAUGAGUAGUAUGUAGGUCUGUGCCCAAGAUCCGAGCCCGCAAACCCCAAGUUUCCUCACCGAAGCAGAGCAUGUGAACUCAACCGCUACGCCACCGGGCUGGCUCCGUGGAAGGCAUUUUCCAGGGGAAGUAUCACUGCAAGCAGGGGUAAUCACCCAAGUCAUCCUACCAAAUGUAGCGAAAGCAGAGUGCUGCUACUGCUAUAGAAGCUACCUAUUAAAAUCCGAGUUAGAUUAUGUUAUUCUCUGCUAGAAAUUCUUCAAUGAUACCUCUCUUACUCAGAAUAAAAGCCAUCGCUCUUACAAUAAACUUUAAGGUUCCACAUUACCUGGUACCCCCAUUGCUU
rnacentral:lncRNA from 1 species